rnacentral:piRNA from 1 species
UGGUAACUUGUGUCCUGAAGGAUGAUGAC